AGCGGCGGACGGGUGAGUAACGCGUGGGUAACCUGCCCUGUACACACGGAUAACAUACCGAAAGGUAUGCUAAUACGAGAUAAUAUGCUUUUAUCGCAUGGUAGAAGUAUCAAAGCUCCGGCGGUACAGGAUGGACCCGCGUCUGAUUAGCUAGUUGGUAAGGUAACGGCUUACCAAGGCGACGAUCAGUAGCCGACCUGAGAGGGUGAUCGGCCACAUUGGAACUGAGACACGGUCCAAACUCCUACGGGAGGCAGCAGUGGGGAAUAUUGCACAAUGGGCGAAAGCCUGAUGCAGCAACGCCGCGUGAGCGAUGAAGGCCUUCGGGUCGUAAAGCUCCGUCCUCAAGGAAGAUAAUGACGGUACUUGAGGAGGAAGCCCCGGCUAACUACGUGCCAGCAGCCGCGGUAAUACGUAGGGGGCUAGCGUUAUCCGGAAUUACUGAGCGUAAAGGGUGCGUAGGUGGUUUCUUAAGUCAGAGGUGAAAGGCUACGGCUCAACCGUAGUAAGCCUUUGAAACUGGGAAACUUGAGUGCAGGAGAGGAGAGUGGAAUUCCUAGUGUAGCGGUGAAAUGCGUAGAUAUUAGGAGGAACACCAGUUGCGAAGGCGGCUCUCUGGACUGUAACUGACACUGAGGCACGAAAGCGUGGGGAGCAAACAGGAUUAGAUACCCUGGUAGUCCACGCCGUAAACGAUGAGUACUAGCUGU
rnacentral:rRNA from 1 species